rnacentral:rRNA from 1 species
AUACGAGGGGUGCAAGCGUUGUUCGGAAUUACUGGGCGUAAAGGGAGCGUAGGCGGAGAUUCAAGCGGAUUGUACAAUCCCGGGGCCCAACCCCGGCUCUGCAGUCCGAACUGGAUCUCUUGGAUAGUUCAGGGGCAGGCGGAAUUCCUGGUGUAGCGGUGGAAUGCGUAGAGAUCAGGAAGAACACCGAUGGCGAAGGCAGCCUGCUGGGGACUUAUCGACGCUGAGGCUCGAAAGUGCGGGUAGCAAACAGGAUUAGAUACCCUGGUAGUCCGCACCGUAAACGAUGCAUACUGGGUGUCCGGGGGUUCCCCCGGGUACCGUAGCCAACGCGUUAAGUAUGCCGCCUGGGGAGUGCGUACGCAAGUAUGAAACUCAAAUGAAUUGGCGGGG